CUACGACCAUAUCACGUUAAACACCCGGUUCUCGUCGAUCACCGAAGUUAAGCAACGUCGAGCUCGGUUAGUACUUGGAUGGGAGACCGCCUGGGAAUACCAGGUGUUGUAG
rnacentral:rRNA from 1 species